UACGUAGGGUGCGAGCGUUGUCCGGAAUUAUUGGGCGUAAAGAGCUUGUAGGCGGUUUGUCGCGUCUGCUGUGAAAAUCCGGGGCUCAACCCCGGACUUGCAGUGGGUACGGGCAGACUAGAGUGUGGUAGGGGAGACUGGAAUUCCUAGUGUAGCGGUGGAAUGCGCAGAUAUCAGGAGGAACACCGAUGGCGAAGGCAGGUCUCUGGGCCACUACUGACGCUGAGAAGCGAAAGCAUGGGGAGCGAACAGG
rnacentral:rRNA from 1 species